rnacentral:lncRNA from 1 species
AAUACUUAAAAGUUACUGUAUCUUUAAUUUACUUAGAAAGAAAUUGGAACCCAGAGAUUUGAAGACUCCUGGCGCUUUAAAUAACUAUUUUGUGACAACCGGGAUCUAGAACUCUAUAACCUUGACUUCCAGUCCCAUGUUGAGUCCCUAGAGCAUGCUACAGCCCCACAUCUUAAGUCAUCUUCUGGGUAAAUUGAAAGUUGGAGAGGAUAAUGGGACAUUUUAAUUUUUAUGCAGUUGGCAAUGUGACAGACUGUGGCUAAUCGAUGACCCUGCAUCCCUGAGUGAGUACUCAGAGCAGACGCCUCUUCUGUCCUUGAAGACACAAGGUGAAAGAUCUCAAACAACAUUUGGCUCAAAAAUCUGUGAUUUCGUUGAUUUGCCCUAGUGUUCCAUUUUCAAUAUGCCUGAUUUUCAAAAAACUCUUUCUGUACUCUCUGAACUUCUACCACCUUAGAGAAAAAAAAAGGCGAAUUUCACCAUUGUUCCUUCUGGGAUAAAGCAUUGGAGGAUAACUUUCACUUGGGGUUUAAUUCCAGAACCAGUUCAUUCAAGGUCAUAGUCUCUUGGCUCAGGAGCUAAAGAGGACCUUCUCACUUUGUGAUACCUUUUGGUGAGUGUACCUUCAUUUCACAAACAAUCAAUUAAAAGGAGGAAUAAGUGAGUCUACAUGAUUUGGUGUGUUUUUAGGCCAUCUUGAUUACUAUUGCUACUUCUGAUACAAUAGUAAGAUUCUCUGAGAGU